GUUAAGUCCUCUGAAUGAUAUUAAUAAUAUUAAAUCAACCAAAUCCAAGAAUUAAUCUCAUGGAUUUUCUCAAGUGCCUCGUGUGUUCAAUUUAUAUAUUGAAUUCAUAUACUCUUUAGUUCCUCUAAAUGAUAAACCACGGGCUUCUUUUGUUUUAAAGAAAAACAAAGUGACCGUAUCCUCUCAAAAUUUUAAUCAAAAGAAAAUGAAUCAUUAACAAGUUUAUAAAACAGUGAUCCAGUUACAUAAAUAAAUUGAUAUUACUGUAUCAAACCUUAAAAUUCCAUUUCAUCAGCAAGUUGAAACAGUGGUACAAUCUUUUUACGCAAUAUAAUAAAUAAAAUGAUCAUAGUUAUUUUAUAAACAAGGGAGCUAGUAACAGACCUAUAGUGAGGACAGGGGAAAGUCACACUGAAUCAUUUUCACAGAAAAACAAGAAACAAAGAGAAACAAAGAGCUUUUAAAGCACAGAAUACAGAAUAUAAAAAAGAAACUGAAGUAAAAAAUGUUGUUGAUUUGUUAUUUUUAAAUGAACAAGGUUUGGUAGUUACAAAUGGUCAUUUGGUUAUUUUAAAGCAGCCAAACAAAUGAAAAAUAAAUCAUGGACCAUAUACAGUAGGCUAUAAAAAGCUGAACAGUCAAGACCUAAACAGUUACUUUCUGCCCUGCACAAAGUCUGUAUCACUACAGAGGAGGCAAAUAUACAUUUCUUGGGCCUAAACAAGUUUUCCUUUAAUGGCCGACAAAGGACAAGAAACCAGUUUUACUGUACCCAUGUUAUACUGUAGUUUUAAAGGUAAAAAUUGUAUUUAAAGAGAAAUUCCACUGUCAAGCAACAUUAGCUUGUUCAACAGAAAAGGCAUACAUGUUUAAGGUUCCCCUUUUAGUCUGGCAAGCAAAUCAACAACAAAACUGGUAGUUGCACUAUAAGGGUAAAAAAAAAAGUAAAGAGUAGAGUUGUAAAUCGCUGUUGAUUCAGGAAGAGCUUGGAAAAAACGACAACAGACACAUUAGCCACCUUGCUAGCUAGCAUAGCAGACACUGAAGUAGUAAUAGUGGACUUGUUGUAGUCCAGGGUGAAGCAGAAAGCAGUAGCUGUGCCAUUCCAAGUUAUUACGGGUAGACUGGUGGACAUAUUACAUCUACGAAUAGAGGAUGGCCCACCAGUGGAAUUUUCCUUUAAAAACAGAGCGCUAUGGGCCAUAUUCACAUAGUGGCCAUCUUUGGUCCUCCUUAGAACCAAGAUGGCCGCCUGGGGAAUGCUGUCGGCUGUAAGUCUCUGAUCCAGGGCUUGUUGCUCAGAAGACUCUUUAAACCAUGGUUUAUGGUCCCCACCUGCGCUCCACUAUGUGAACGCAUGCUUUCUGUGUAUUAAUACAAAACAAAAUAAGACGACUUAUCGUCUCGCAAUUAGCCCAUUUUUCUGUUCACCGUAAGAGUCGUCACAGUGCAUCAGUACAACGACUCAAAACAUUGUUCAGGUCGUCCACCUUUGGAUGCUUCACAGCUUGUCAAUAAAAGGUGUCAAUAACCUCCGUUGCCUUCGGUGACAAUCAACUGACACGCGCUGUUGCUAGGUUACUGACGGUCAACGGAUCCGAUGCAAAUGCCAUUGGACAGUCACCUGGCCUCAGAAAACACCACCCGGCGCACAGUUCAAGUCUUUCUGAUCUGUGGAGCAAGCAUCACACGCUCCCUUCUCCACCGCGGUGGAAACCCGGUUCUGGCUGUCUGAACGGCAGAUCUCGACGGCAGGAAUCCCCAUCUACUUCUGAACCAAGUGGGGAAGGAGAUGGGGAGGGGGGGGACGAGGGGAUUCAAGUGAAAACAUACACCAGCCCGUCGACCCGUCAACCGAACCGCUCCCUCACCAGAUUCAUGAGCUUCUUCUUGCCCUUGUAGAUCUGCUUGAGGUUGUCUAUGAACUGGGCGAACUGGAUGUGGCCGUCCUGCGCCAUCAGGAACGUCUCGCGCGCCUUGCUCAGGAACUCGAUGAACUCGCCGUAGUGCCGCGGGCUGAUGUGCGUGAGCCCGCGAGUGCGUGGUGUUGAUGUAGGCGCCGAUGGUGGCGUCCAGCAGCUUGCGCAGCGGCGCCUUGUCCAGGGACAUCAGCUUGCCCGAGUUGCGGCGGCUGUGCAGCGCCGACACCACCAUGCCCGGCGUGGUCAUGGUGCACCGCCGCAGGAUGUCCGACAGCACCGUGGCGCACUUCACGCUCUUCACCACCAGGGGGAUGACGGCCGCCAGCUCGUUCUUGCCCAGCGAGUGGCUGAGCGCGCACGCCCACAGCACGUCGUUGAUGGCCGGGUGCGUGUCCUGGUUGUAGCUGAGGUUGAGGUGCGUCAUGGCCAGCGUGGCGAGCUUGUAGGCGCGCAUGGGGUAGCCGCGGUGCUCCAUGUAGCGGGCGAUGGUGAACAGCUGCGUGUAGCUCAUGCCCGUGGCCGCCGUGGCCGCCGCCGCGUCCAGCACGAUCUGGUACGCCGUCUCGAAGGCGAUGUGCUCCUUCUCGCAGAGUGUCAGGGCGGAGAGCGCGCAGUUCUGGGGGGUCCUUCAUGGCGCACUGCAGGGCCAGGGUGCGGGCCGAGUUGGCCAGGUUGUCCUGCUGAUGGCAGUCCAGGUGGAGCCGCAGCACGGUGCUGUUGGACACGACGGUGGUGGCCACGAUGCUGGUGGCCUCCGUGGGGGUGAAGAGGGUGUACCAGUUCUGCAUGAUGCUGUCCAGUGCGUAGACCCCU
ensembl:lncRNA